rnacentral:rRNA from 1 species
GAUGAACGCUGGCGGCGUGCCUAACACAUGCAAGUCGAGCGAACAGACGAGGAGUUUGCUCCUCUGACGUUAGCGGCGGACGGGUGAGUAACACGUGGAUAACCUACCUAUAAGACUGGGAUAACUUCGGGAAACCGGAGCCAAUACCGGAUAAUAUAUUGAACCGCAUGGUUCAAUAGUGAAAGACGGUUUUGCUGUCGCUUAUAGACGACUACGCGCCGCAUUAUUUAGUUGGCAAGGUAACGGCUUACCAAGGCUACGAUGGUUAGACGACCUGAGAGCGUGGUCGGCCACACUGGAACUGAGGCACGGCCCAGACACCGGCGGGGGGCCGCAGUAGAGAAUCUUCCGCGAUGGGCGAGAGCCUGACAGAGCAACGCCGCGUGAGUGAUGAAGGUCUUCGGAUCGUAAAACGCUGUUAUUAGGGAAGAACAAAUGUGUAAGUACCUAUGCACGUCUUGACGGUACCUAAACAGAAAGCCACGGCUAACUACGUG